ensembl:piRNA 21ur-2921 ncRNA
UCGAUUUACUGGUGUCGAUUU